GCCAGGUGUGGUGGCGCACGCCUGUAAUCCCAGCUACUUGGGAGGCUGAGGCGGGAGAUUUGCUUGAACCUGGGAGGCGGAAGUUGCGGUGAGCCAAGAUCGUGCCACCGCACUCCAGCCUGGGCAACAAGAGCAAAACUCCGUCUCAA
rnacentral:SRP_RNA from 1 species